UUUGGAAGUCUCAAGGGAAGAAUAGAGAACAAUAAAACAACGUACUUCAAGAAACUCAGUGCAGGUCUGAAUCACUUCAGAGUGUGAGAGCUGAGCAAUAAAUAAUGUGGGCAACAGAAUUUUUAUGCUUGGUGUUCUUCUUUCUCUUUUUAAGUUUAAGUUGACUUAUUCCUGUUGAAAUGUACUCUACAUGACUUGGAGCAGGCUGAGGCAACUGCAGAUUCUAAACAGUAAUCUUUUAUAAUUCAUGCAAGACAAGUAAGACACCAGAAGAUCAGGAAGAGUAUGUCUUUCAACAGGAUAAAGGAACUGUAAGAGGUCAUUCUUUUACGCCGUUGCCUCAAAGCUUGCUGAGGGACACAGAUGAACAAGGUCAAGCAAGUCCUGACCAAGGAUUAAGAAAACCUUCGUCCUGAAGGGACAACAGAUGGACAACGCCUGGGGCAACGAGAGAGGGUAAGUGGCAGCUAAAUGGCCAGGAAACAGUCUUUUGUGUGGACUUAUCUCAAGGGAGACAGCCAUCUCAGGGGGGGCUCACAUGACCAAGCGCCCAGAAAUGUCACGUAGGCAGGGAAGGAGGAGGAUAAAAGAGGGUCCAACAACCAUGAAGUCAGGAUUCUGAUAACAGAUUCCACACGACCUGCCUCUCCCUCCCGGACUUCGCUCUGUGCUCUACCUGCUUGCUGCCUAAGGAUGGCCUCUCUGCUGCUGCUCACCCCUCCGAGAAGGUGUCUGCCAUCAGAUCCCUCACUACAAAAGGCCUGCAUGCUGACUGACUCUCCAGGGCCUGCUACCGGAGACCUGCUGCUUCCGCCCAGACUUCUUCCUGGACCUACUCGGUACCUGCCUGCACCUUCUCGCUGCCUAAGACCGGCCACACCGCUGCUGCUCUUCCCCUGCGCUUUUGCCCCGGACCAUCGGAACGUCGUGCAACGGGACUACUGCCGGAUCCUGGUGACCUAUGCCUUCAGCUUCAGUGAGCACAGUUGUAGAACACUGUAAGGGAAAAUGGUACACCGUCUGGGAUAUGCAAGGGACUUUGGCUCUUAAUUCAGAUUGUUGUAUAGUGUAUUUAAAAAAAAAAGUCAGCAAUGAUUUUCCUAGGAAUCUUUUCAGUCAUAAUAUUACCUUCAUCUUACUCAUUCCCCAGUCAGUCUAAUUCAGGCACUCAAAUAUGCAAGGUAUGUAAAAACUAUGAUAAAUGUAUAUAUCAACACACGUUAUAAGCACCACUUGAUAUUCUAAUAAUCCAAGUAAAGCCUAUUUUUAAUACAUGAGAGCUGCUCUGAAAGUAAUGCCUCCUAUUUGUCCUAUUGUGUUUGUUGGUCCAUGAUGUCACAGGCAGAUGGUGGUGGUAUGGCAGUAGAGGCUGAACCUUCUCACCAAUAUCCCAUUACAUUUUGUUGCCAUGUAACAGAUGGCAACAAAGGGGCAGUCUGACAAAAUGACAUCUGACAGGGAAGUGCUUCUGAAAUAAAGGUCUGGGGUUGAAUUCCUUGAUGUGGAAAAAAUGACACCCAUUGGCAUUCACUGAUGUUUGCUGAAUGCUGAUGGAGACCAAGUAGCAGGUGUGAGCACAGUGACACAGUGAGUGGUGUGUUUCAGCAGUAGCAGCACCAACUGUGUCACCUCAGCUGGUGCAGAUUUUUCUGAGUGCAGCAUGCAGGUUCUUGUUCAUUGCUGGUGAAAAUAUGUAGUUAAUGAUGGUGCCUAUGUUGAAAAACAGGUUUUUUUGUAGCUGAGAAUUUGCUCUAUCAAAUUUGUAGCUAUUGUAGUUUCCAUGGAAAUAAACAGGAGGCAUUACUUUCAUAGAGAAUUAAGUAGAGGAGAAUGACUUCAUUUAUUCCUACAGGUGUAAGUUAAGAAGCAACUGUCAUGAAUUUAACAUCAAUUUGUAGCAAUUAUUGGUCUGGGCAUUAUAUGCUAACACUGCCUGGCUUCAAAUUCAAAUCAAGGAACACUCUGAUGUCAUGAAUUUUAUUUAAAAAUAUUUAUCACUACACACUACUCUGAGGUCUAGAAACAGAUUUAGAACUUGGGGAAAGAUGCAAAUGAAAAAUUCUAUUGGAAAAACAAAACUACUGUUUAAUGCUCGAGGCCUUAGUGGCCUUACAUUUGUAAUUAACCCAGCAAGAACAAAAUCCUCAUACUAAAGGCUAAACAUAACUCAAGGACUCUUUCAGAACAAAACAGUGCUACUGAAAUGCUGAGUUCUGAAUGCUCAUCAGAUCCUGGGUGAAAGCCAAGACAUCUCUGCUUUAUAUCUGAAGAAACUACUAUUAAGAACCUAAGAAUCACUGUCAUUCCAAAGCGUACUUCUGCUUUUUGAUUUCUUGGUUUCAGAACUGAGCUCAAGGCAGUUAGAUCAUUGAGCAGAAAGCUCCUGGCCACUCUGUAGUACCAGUGUAGUCAGUGGGAGCCAGACUUGCUCAGAAAACCAGCAAUUUGUGUCUCAAGUUCUGCACCCAUAGUCAAAAACUGACUCAGUAAGACAGACUGAUUUUCUGUUUUAACUCUCCAAUAAAAACAGUCUUUCCAGAUCCUGAAUUUGUCUUUUACGUGAAAUAGACUUUUCUGCCCAUUGCAUGUAAAUGUAAACUUUCUUGGAGAAACUUUAUAAGUAAGCUCACAGAAUAUUAGAAUUCCAUAGCUAUUCUUUUCUACUUUUUGGAAAAAAAAAAAAAUAAAACCAACAUCUGAUAUGUGGGGAGCAGAAUAGCUAAAUGUUAUAGGAUGUCACAUAUAAUCCAUAUGCAUCUUGAUUAAACUAUCAAUGUAGAACUCAAAUGUCCAUCUCUAUUAUUUCUUUCAGCGUCUUUUCACUUAGUAUUAGAAUGAAGAUAUUAAGAAGGCCCAAAAGGUACAAUAGUGCCCCUUUCCUUUUGCCAACAGUCUUAAGAGUUCCCCCCCCCCCCCAGAUUUCCCCUUCAAUAACAUUUAUUUUGAAGAAUUUUAACAUCAAGGGCAACAUGGUACCCAGUUAUUUGACUAAGUAAGACGAAGGGAAGGCUUCACACACUGCUGCAUAUUAAGUGAAAGUGUAGGAAUAAUAUUUUCCAAGACCUAGAUAGAACUGAAUUUAAACAAACUCUAAUGGUUGACCAAUUUGAGAUGCAAAUGAGAUGUUUCACAUCGAGGCUGUUGUUGAUGAUGGUGCAUUGUUUGUGACUGGAUCUCCCUCAGUGCUUGCGAUUGCUAUUAAUGCAGUCUUGGAAACAUUUUCAAGAAUUGCUUUACAUGGCCCUAGCAGGGGAAAGAGAAAUGGAAAGUCUGCAACAGCAGAACAAAUCUUUCUAGAAUUGAGUUCACUCUGAAAGUUGGCUACCACAUCUAAUAGAACAGGAUGGGCUCAACUGGUUUUGUUUGUUUGUGGCUUGUUUUUUUUUAAUUUAUGCAAAUUAUUUCUGUCAGGUAAUAAGGUAAACAGAAAGAAAUGCUGAGACUGCAGCACAGACUGGAAUACUGUUGGUAAGCUCUGCUUACCAUCUCUGAAUGAGGUGUACUCUUCUUUCCUUCUUGAUUUGAAUGAGAGCUAAGAGAUGUUCCUGUGUUUCAGACCAAACAGGAAGAUUUAUACAACUGUUCUUAAAAUGUGCUUCACCUCUUGUCAACCUCAAGAACAUUUGCCUUUUUUGCAGCUAUUCCCAUUCCUCUCAGUGACUCCCAGAGGUGAUCUAUUCAGCAUUAGUCAAGGCUGUAGUAAGAAUCUUCCAAAAGUAUUUUGCACUCUGCCAUUAAUUCCCUCGCUAUCUGCAAGUGAACCACUUCAGGCAUGGCUGCAACAUACAGUGAAGUAUAGCAUGGAAAUUCCAAGCUGAUACAUUUGCAAAGCACCACUUAAUAAGGAACAGAAAAUCAUGAGAUCUGAAAGCAAUCUGGCCACAUCUGACACCGCUGUGCCAGACCUUGUAAAUUCAUUCUUUUAUCAUUACAGUUCAUUUGCUCAGAGGCUGUGCUGAGAUUGUUCUGGUUCUGAAGCAUCUAUGAACAUUAUUACCCCAAGGAAGUAUGUUUCACACUUCACUGCAGUGUGCACUUCAGUGCAGACAUGCCAACAGCCUGCCCUGGCCUUGAAAUCCUACCUGUAAUCCUACCUGUAAAGUAGGGACAAUGAUUUGACCUAUAAAAUAUAAAGUUGCAGAUAGUAAUGCAUUUUGACAGUUUCCCUACAGUUCAGUAUAGUGAUGAGGGCCGGAGGAAUAAUGCAGAUGUUUGAGCACUGUUGCAAGACUGCAAAGAGUCCUUAAAUUUGAUUCCUCAGAGUCAGUGGAUACUUUUGAAAGCAUCACUGAUUUUUCCAAGUUCUAAGGUGAUUGUAAGGGCGGUACUGAUUUCAGGGCCUGGAUUCAGAAAUAUUAAAAGCCCUGACCAGCCUCACCUGUGAAAUCCUCCCCAAUUCCUCCACAGUCCAUAGGCUCAAGGGCUCCAGGCCUGGAAGUUCAGUCCUUCUCUGAGCCAUGCUGCAGAGAUGCUGGUUCUCAGCACUAACAGGGUCACUCAGCCUCACAUCACAGCACUAUCUCAUGCAGACUUUGUUGGGACUGCCAAGGUGAGGCAAGGUCUCAAUUCUUUUGCCACGUUGCACAGUCCUAACUCAGACCCUUCAGGUGUGUAUGUGGCGGGGAACUCCUUGGCUUUCCCACCCCUCUUCAUGGGCAGCUAGCCCAUGUUGUUCCCUGACAACUAGCAGUAGAAUCAAGAAAGCCUGGGCCCCUGCUUUACAUUUUUAUCGAGACACAUCCUACCCUCUUCAAAUGCCACGUGCAGCUACCUCAAGACUGGUCAGUUGGUUACCUUCAUCCAGUUUCAACCAGUAGCCUCAUGCUGUUUCUCUGGUCUCAGAAUAGUUGAGAAACAAGGUGGCACCAAUGACACCGAGAGGCAAGACACAGAAAGCUUCAGUCACCCAAGUCUUGAUGGCACUGAAUUAGAAAUUACAAUUAUUUGUGUUCUCAAUGUUAUAAAAACCCUGGGUUUGUCCUUCAUGUAGCUAGAAAGGUGAGGAAAUUGAUAGUCUGACCAUGUGGUGAGGAAGACAGAAACAAACUCCAGCCUUUGGAGAAAUUAAUUCUUGGAGACCGAAAACCUAAAAUUAUCCAAAGGAGAAUAUUGUGUAACAUUGUACUGUAAAUCACUAACAGAUACCUCUACACCUAUAUGUUUAUCUUAGAUGCAAUAUAUAUUUUCUUAAUUAUUUUCUGUUUAUCAUAAAACUACCGAUGAUAGGUAGCUUAAGAUUAGAUUGAGACUCAGUUUUUUUGCUUUGCUCUUCAGACUUCUUUAAAACAGGGUUUGAUUUUCUUUUGACCCAAUCUGUCUGAAUUCCAAAUCAAUCCAGAGGUAAAAGAUCGUGUUCACUAGUUUACUCUUUCAGUGUUACAGGUGGUGGAAGAUGACUCCAGCGGGGAGUUGCAAAAUUAGCAAGUUUGUUUACUAACUUUUUAUGCAUACCAUGGAUAUGACUUCUCCUAGUCAUUAUUCCUCCCAUUUUAGGAGAUUCACAUCUAUUCAUGUGCACAUAAGUGUUAGCUAAUUGGAAAGUUUAAGUCAAAAGCAGAUACUUGCAGCUGUCUGCUUGUAUAGAAAGAAACCUCUCCUUGACAGGUUCUACAAAGUAUCAGUUCGGGUCAAGUUGAAUCAUAAUAAUUGUUCUGCUGACUUUAAAAGGAACACACUCUGAUGAUGUUAUUACUGUAGCAAUUUGGUGGAAACCCAAUGCCAUAAAAUCCUGGUUCCUACUGUUGUAUCUUUUUCUACAUGAGCUCUCAUCUGCUUUCUCACUAAAAAUAGAAUAUUGCAUAUAACUACUGCAAAUGCUAACUCUUAGUAUCAAACAUCUUUCUUUCUCCAUCUGGUGUUUUAGCUCAAUUAACAAAUUAGAACAUGAGUGACUGAUGUAGAAAUAAUAGUUAUACCUACUUUCCUUCUCUGAAAGGGCUCAGUUUGUAACAAAAGUGCAUGCACUUUAAAAGUGCACUGAAGGUGUUAGCUCGGUGAUCCUUACUACAUCUCUACAUGGUAGCAAUUUCUCUCUGUUUACUCAUUUUGCACAGUAAGAGAGAGAUUUAAUUUUUGUCAUCUCAUGGCCUCGCACAGGAUGAGGGUAAGUGACAUCUUUUGUGUAGUGGCACGUUUAUGCAUUGUGGCUUUGUGCUUUUCAUGCUAAAUUUAAAAGCCAAAUUUCCAGGAUAGGGCCAGUGCAUUAAAGUAUAAAGUUUACUCAGAGACAUAUAAUAUUUGCAAUUUCAAGAGUUUUCCUGUGUUUCUGUAUACAGUUGUUUCUGCUCUAUGUCGUUUCUCCUUUGGUAUUCCCCUACUUUGAUUACCUCUGCACUCCUUAAGUUACAGAUCCUGGAUCGCUUUAAAAUGGAAAAGCCUCAAGCAGCGUUCAGCAACGUUCUCUCUCUUUUAUUAUUUACUGGAAUGGUCACUGUGAGAUCACUGCCUUUGAAGAAGAGUUAGAGAAAAUCCUGCUUUAAAACCAAAGGAAAUCCAGAUUAAACAGGAGAAUGUGGAGGAAGCACAAUGACAGCACAUGAAAUGUAAGAGAAGAGUGCUGAAGACCCUGCAAUCACUCUGGAAGAGACUUCCGUAUCUGCUUCUGCAGACUGUCUGGGACCGUUAAAUGACCAAAUAUUUAUCUGUGGUUGAAAAAAUGACAUAUUUCUUCUUGUUUGCUAUCUGGCCAUGUUGUUUGUACAAGCACCCUCAGAAGUGUGCAGAAGUAUACAUACAGCUGCAAGGAUAUCACUGAAAGGUCAGUCAUAAUUUUGUCAGACCGUCUCUCUGCUGCCAUCUGUCACCUGGCAACAAAAUGUAAUUGGAUAUUGGUUGGGAAGAUUCAACCCCUACUGUCAUACAAUCAACAUCUGCCUCUGACAUCAUGGGCCAACAUAAUAAAAUAGGAAGCAUUAUUUUUGAAGCAGCCCUUGUAUUCAAAGCCUCAAAUGCAUUAUGAAAAGCAGAGACAAAAAAGAAAUUCAAAAAAAGAUCAAUCAAUAAAGCUGUAAUUUUCUAAAUUUCCAAACUAUCUUUGCUAUUUCCUAAGGUAAACAGACAUUUGAAGAACUUACAAUCAAAUGCUUAACCUGGUGUAACAGUGACGCCAUCGUCUUCAUGCAUGUUAACAAAUCUCAAAUCAAGAGAUUUGAUUUUGAUGUAAGUAUACUUUGACAUAAGUGAGAUUACCUGAAUACCAUGCUUCAGGUAUUCAUAUACCAUGAAAAUAAAAAUGAACACAUUCGUACUCUUGUUGCUGGUGGACAGGCCAUCGUAUGACAAGCUCCCUAGUACUAAGAAAAGCAGAUCUUUUUGGUGAUGUUGGCAGAAAGGUCACAGACUCAUUGGUCUCUAAAUUGAAACCAUUUUUUUUAUCUUCCACUUAUGACUGUUCAGUGCUUUUAAUAUAUAGAUAUAUUUGUAAAAGUUCUGUAAGAUCCAUAAAUCUCCAUCUAAGGAAAUCUCAGCUCAUGUCUUCCACACUUUUUAGUGUUUUGCUCAUGAUUGCAGCUGGAAAGAAGCACUAGUGUCUGCAAGAUAAAGAGAGCAAUCAAGUUCCACUUCUAGGUCCUAGGAUGAAAAAAAAAAAAGGCUCCUUCAAAGGAGGAAGCCUAUAACUGAUAUACCACUCUGUCUCCUGAGCAUGACAGUGAAAAAGAAAGGAUUUCAUUGCACCAAGAAGAGGACAACUCCUUCUGAAACUGUUAUCCUCAGAUGGGAACUACUGUGCAAAAAUUCAUCACAUUAUUUGAAAACGACUUGCACAAGUGUAUGCCCUGAAGCAAAACAUGAAUAUAUGUAUGCUACACAUAAUUGGCAUGGUAAUAUUAUCCACUGAAAUAUCUAGGUCUCUACAUCAAGCUAAACAUCACAGAGCUAUAAUAAACAAGUAAAUAAAGAAGUGGUGAUUAGCAAACUGGAUUUAUGUUCUUAAGUACCUGAUGUGCUGUAAGUCAGUUCAUACUCACAUCCUAAAGCAGUUUGUGAAAUGUAUAUCUAUUUAAAUGACAUUUACAAAACCUGUUUAUGCUUUCAACAUGAUAAAUUCAUCUUCAAUUACUUGGAAAAAUAGGGCGAGUAUUUAUAACCUGUUGUUCUUUUUUCAUAAAAGAAAAACCCAUGCCCAGGCAUUCCUAGUAUUUCUUACUUACAGUAUGACAUCCACAGUGUUCAUCAGAGUACAGUGCAGUGCUGUGCACCUGUAGGAACUGUUGCUUAAUUUCACAGCUUAGGUGCCCAAAUUAAAUUGCACUGAUUACCUCUUCGACUCCUAUAUUAAAAAUUACCUUUGGUGGCUUUAAUAUAGAUACUCAGGAAGGUUUAAAUUUUAAAUGGAUGACCAUGGGUUAAGCUUUAUUCCCUGUCUUAUUAGGAAUUAUACUAAAAAAGCUCUAACAGACUCCCCGUGUAUUUGCAAAAAUCUUUCUGGUGACACCUUAUGACAUCUUGUCAAAAUCCUCACUUUAUUCUUGCUAGUUUUACAUUAAGUUGCUGCCUGCUGGAAAUAAGUUUUAUCACAGCAGGAGCCUAAACCAACAUUUAUUUCAGAAAUCCCAAGAAAACAUUCAGAACUAUCACAGUUAUAGAAAUAUGUGCCCCACAUCUUCUGUGGGUGGAUAGAUACACGCCUGCAUCCGGAAGGCUGGAAACAGGUUUCAGCCCCUGACUGCGGAUGGCUCUGCUCAGAAAGCUCAACUACAACAGUCUUCAGCCAUCUGCUUGUUGCAAUCAGAUCCACUUCAAAGUGUCACAAUCUGACCUUUGUUAUGGCAACAAUAACUUGCAACGGAUGCUCAAGCCAGCUGGUCUGCAGAGAUCCUAGAUCGCCUCAGUGAGUUUAGAAUGACCUUUUGCAGUGCAGACACCAGAAGUCAAAGAGGUGAGCUAUCAUGUUAUCACAGAGAUCUCAGCAUGCUCUAAGGAGCUUUUUUUAGCCUAGGACUGAAAAAAGGGACUCCCUUUAGUGAAUCCUUGAGUCAGCUUUUUACUUCUGUGGUAGAGCCCAAAUGCAUUCUCCUUUCUCAGUUUAAACUUCACAUUUAAUAGAAAUUGUUUUUAUAACAAACAUUUAUGUAAAACCUCUUCAAUAAACUAGGUAGGGCUUCCUGUUAUUCUUUCACUGC
ensembl:lncRNA